rnacentral:rRNA from 1 species
UCGCACCUACCGAUUGAAUGGUCCGGUGAAGCCUCGGGAUUGUGACCUGUGCCUUUACUGGUGUUGGUCGCGAGAACUUGUCUAAACCUUAUCAUUUAGAGGAAGUAA